rnacentral:rRNA from 1 species
UACGUAGGGCGCAAGCGUUAUCCGGAAUUAUUGGGCGUAAAGGGCUCGUAGGCGGUUUGUCGCGUCGGGCGUGAAAACACCGGGCUUAACUCGGUGCUUGCUUUCGAUACGGGCAGACUAGAGGCAUGCAGGGGAGAACGGAAUUCCUGGUGUAGCAGUGAAAUGCGCAGAUAUCAGGAGGAACACCGGUGGCGAAGGCGGUUCUCUGGGCAUGUCCUGACGCUGAGGAGCGAAAGUGUGGGGAGCGAACAGG